UGACAGGUAUUAUAUAGCGCGCUUGCGCGUCUAUUGUUAAAUAUGCUAGUCCUUUCAUGAUUAUGUGAUAGGUGGUGCAUGGCCGUUCUUAGUUCGUGGAGUGAUCUGUCUGCUUAAUUGCGUUUCAGAUAAGGAUCUAUAUUCUUUACAGAAGUGUUGCGUUGUGCGCAUUUGACCCCUCGUUCGCGAGUGNGUGUCUUUUCGCGCUCGCACGCUUUUUACAUUAGGUCCUGAAAGCAACGAACGUGACCGCAACCUCUUGUUGCCUCAUCUCCCUACUUUUUUAGCANUUNGGUGUUGAAUAAUUUCAUUGAGGCUUUCCAAAACUAGAGGGACCGCUGUCAACUUCUUAAACCAGAGGAAGGUUGCGGCAAUAACAGGUCUGUGAUGCCCUUAGAUGUUCCGGGCUGCACACGUGCUACAAUGAUUGUUGCAGUGAGCAUCUCAAUUUUUUACCUUAACACCGCACACGUGAGUACGCAUACUUGUAUGUGUUACUUUACGCAGCGGUAAAGCCUGCUUCGAGAGCAAGUGGGUAAUCAAUUAGAAGUAACGAUUUCCCAAAUUAGCACACUUAUAUGCGGCGUUUGCGCCCGGGUGCCACUUGUUGGUACUUCUGUGCGUGCAGAUGUUUUUUUUCCGCAUGUGCAAUUGUCAAUUCAUGGUGGGGACAGACCAUUGUUAAUUGUUGGUCUCGGUCUUAACUAGGAAUGCCUUGUACGGGUCUUUGGUUCAACAAACCACCCGGAAUACGUCCCUGCCCUUUGUACACACCGCCCGUCGCUCUUAC
rnacentral:rRNA from 1 species